GAUAAUUUUAAUAAAACACAAGGUCUACAUCGGAAACCUCAGAAGGGGACAACAUUUUUUAUUGUUCUUGUGCUACAGACAGUUCUUUUCUAAUAGGCCAAUUCUCAUAUCAUUUCAUUAUACUUUUCUUUUUGUUUUAGUAGGCUACUUACAAAUUUGUGCUUAAUUACCAACUAAUUAUUUUUUUAUAUUAUCAUUAUUAAAAUUAUUAUUAUUAUUUAACUUAUAGACCAUUGGGCGAAUCAACAUGAACUCUCGUUUUUUUCCUUCUUUUAAUUUUAAAUAAAAUAAUGACUGAAUGAUACACUGAAUCGGCAUCAACUAUUACGUUUCAUAAAUGAUCAAACAUCAGAAUUGUACAUCAAAAUAAAACUGUAGGCUAAUAGCAUAAACACGCUUACCUUUAAAUACGAAGUUAACGUAGAUAAUCCCCGCAGAACUGAUGAAAACGUCUUUAUUAUAGAACAAUUCUAGAACUAUUUAAUGAUAGGACCAACUUUGUACAGUCACAACCAGUUUGAUCAAUAGAUUGUUGAGUCAAAUCUCUCCAGCAACUGCCUGGGAAGUUUGAAUGUUGCCGAAGUAAGCCCAUUUCUGACCAGGCCAGUGCGCACAUCCAUGAUGCUGGAGAGUAAAGGUAGUCCCAUGUGAUUCCUAGUGUCAUCUUUUAAAAGCGAGACGAGAGAAAAUGCCCGCUCAACAUGGGCAUUGGAAACGGGCAGAACAAGAAGUCUUAUGGCACCUUGUGCCAAUUCCUGGAAACACUUGUGCCCCCCUGCAUCUUUAAACCCUUCGACUUCGAGCCAAAACUUGUCAAUGUCCUGAUCAUCAGAGAAGUUUGCGGUUGCGACAUUCCUCCACUGCGUUUCUAAUGUACCAAUGGGGCACGAGAAAAGAUCAGCUGGCAAGUCCUUUACUCCAGGCCUAUUUAUAGUGGACAUAACAGAUUUCGGGCAGAAGAGCUCCAGUUUGCUCAGGAUUUCCAUUGAAGUAGGUAAACGCAAUUGGUACUGCUUUACAAGUUCUUUUAGAAAAUCCAUAAAACGCGAAGAAAUGAUCUCCUUCAUGUCUGGGGCUAGCCUACUUUCCUUCAGUUUGUCCAUAAAUGUGGUACCCAGGUCCGCAUCCAGAGGGGAUAGGAAUAUGCCAGACUGUGUGAGGUCAAGUUCACGGAGCUGCUUGUGAUUACGCAAGACGCUCGGUUUGAGAAUGCGUCUCACAGUUGUCAUGUACAGCCUUUCCAAGUCUCUAAACACACCGAGAGAGUUUCCUGUUUCUAAUUGAAAGCAUUUAUUUACAGCUUUGAUUUCCAUCAGAACAGGCUGAAGAAAGUACAUGUAAAGGAGAUUCGUUUUGUCAUUGUACAUUUCCUUUAAAAGCCGAGCAGUAUAGCAGUGAUCUGUACUUGAAGCCAUGUUAAAGUGCAGUGUGAGGGCAUCUUUUUGAUCCACAAUACGGUUAAUGCAGUCAGCCAUCACAAGCCAACGGGUACAGCUUGGACUUAUUAAUUUCAAGGGGCAGCCCCCGUUAUUGAUAGUCUCAUAUAUGUUCUUGUACUCAUACUGCCGCUUUGCUGAAUGUGCGAACCAGUUGUAGGUUUCUCUAACCAUGUAUUCUAUGUUGCUUGGAAGAAGCUGCAUUGCUUUAUUUGCAACAAUGUCAAGCGAAUGGCAAACACAGCGAAUAAGCUGCAGGUUUGGCUGUAUUUGUUUAAGCAGGGUAAAAACCGAGUGGUUUUUUCCAACCAUUACGCUGGCACCAUCUGUGGCAAUGCCCAUCAUGUUUUUAAUCUGGAGACCGUUCUUCGAUAGAAAAGCGACAACAGUGUCUGAUAUGGCUUUAGCAUCAGCAUCUGUCAGCUCUACAAGUCCAAGAUAUGUACUUACAAACCUGCUGUGUUUUUUUGAGUGGUAUUUCACACAAAUGCAAAGAAGUUUGUUCACGGAUAUGUCAGUGCUUUCAUCGAGAUACAGGGAAUAUGGAGAAUCCCCAAUAUCCUCCACAAGUUCUUCUCUGAAGUGUGGCGCGAGGACUGAUUUGAUGAUGGCUGUACACUUUGUCCGGUGCAUUUGGAAUGUUCCCAUCUCAUCUUUCAAAAUGUCUGACAAAUCGUCCACCGCAUUUAUUGAACUGUGACAAGCAAUGUAAGCAGCGAUUCUAAUUUCACGGCGCUUUUGGUCAUCUUUGAUCGGACACAGCCCUGCUGCUCCCACUGACACAGUAAACGUUUACACAGGAACCCGCCCAAUCUGGCAACACUGCACGCAAGUUUGAGUCACACCCUGCCAAGCGAGUAACCCCAGAGUGCAGUCUGGACGAUGGGGCGGGGCGACACUUCGAGGCGGAGCGCCCAUAUUUGUUUUCCCCGCAUUCGACCUUUUGCUCCGAGCCAGCAGGGGGCAGUUUGCGUUGAAACAAACAGAACGGUGGCAACUGCAGCAGCAGAGUAAUAACGCUAUUUCACGUUGAUUGCAUGAGGAUGACAUGAUCAGGAGGAGGUGGUGUUGUUCUGUUCUCCUGGACAGCUUCACUCCGCAAAUAGUUCAACCACUGAGGGGAUGAACUUCACCAUUCACCAUGUCUUCAGGCAGAGUCCAGCAAAACAGAUGGAUAUACAACAUUUUUUUUGUCGUGCGGGAGUAGGUCUGCAAAUGAGCAACAGUCAGUGUUAUAUAUGGCUCAGUCAGUACUCCUACUCCCAUAUAUGAAAUACAGGGAAUACAAUGGAAUAGUGGAUUGCAAUAAGGUUAGUAGUAUACAACCCUACCCUAAUAGUAAAAUAAUAUUUUCUAAUCAUACCCUUUUUGGGGGCUGAGCCCCCCUAAAAUCAAAAUCUUAGAAUCGCCCCUGAUCUGAAGUAUAUUUUCAUGCAUAUAGUAAUGUAUUUGAUUUUACUUAAGGGAUGUAUUUGUAUUUUACUUAAAGGAUAGUUCACCAAAAUCAAGAACUUCAUAAUCAAGUAAUCACUGAGAAAUAAUUUACUCAUUUUCAUGUCUUUCCACUUUUUCCAUGUCCCUCAAACAUAUGAGUUUUGGCUUCCGAUAACUAUACAAUGGCUCAUUUCACUGAAUAUUUAAAAAAACUAUCAUGACCAGUGCUUUAAGUGGGCCGGUACGCACCGGUAUUCAGUACUGCCACUUCCAAAUAUAGCUCUUGAGCGUACCGCCACCUCUCCGUGCGCCCAGAACGUGCUUUUAGCGUACCGGUACGCUCAUUUGGACAUCUGUUUUAAU